UACGUAGGGUGCGAGCGUUAAUCGGAAUUACUGGGCGUAAAGCGUGCGCAGGCGGUUUGUUAAGCCAGAUGUGAAAGCCCCGGGCUCAACCUGGGAACUGCGUUUGGUACUGGCAAGCUAGAGUACGGCAGAGGGGGGUGGAAUUCCACGUGUAGCAGUGAAAUGCGUAGAGAUGUGGAGGAACACCGAUGGCGAAGGCAGCCACCUGGCAUAAUACUGACGCUGAAGCGCGAAAGCGUGGGGAGCGAACAGG
rnacentral:rRNA from 1 species